rnacentral:rRNA from 1 species
GACGAACGCUGGCGGCGUGCUUAACACAUGCAAGUCGAGCGGUAAGGCCCUUUCGGGGGUACACGAGCGGCGAACGGGUGAGUAACACGUGGGUGACCUGCCCUCAGCUCUGGGAUAAGCCUGGGAAAUUGGGUCUAAUACCGGAUAUGACUCCAUGACGCAUGUUGUGGGGUGGAAAGCCUUGUGCGGCUGAGGAUGGGCCCGCGGCCUAUCAGCUUGUUGGUGGGGUGANGGCCUACCAAGGCGACGACGGGUAGCCGGCCUGAGAGGGCGACCGGCCACACUGGGACUGAGACACGGCCCAGACUCCUACGGGAGGCAGCAGUGGGGAAUCUUGCGCAAUGGGCGAAAGCCUGACGCAGCGACGCCGCGUGAGGGAUGACGGCCU